AUAAACAAAUGAACUGAUGAUCCCAGCUGGUGCCAAAUUCUAUACAGUACUAUAAAAGGAGAUGAUGAAAGCUGGGAAAGGAGGAAGAUCUGCUACUACCUGAAUGACAUAGGAUAAUUUGGAGGAAGAAUUCUAUACUGGUCAGAAUUCCAGAAUGGCCAGCACAGAAGGACUGCAAAAGGAAUAAGAGCACAGCUGACCAGCGACAUGACAGCACUACGAGGCUGCAGCACAAUCCACCACUCAGGUCUGUGGUGACAAUGGUGCAAACACACCCAAAAGUCAUCUUGGAACAUACCAGCUCUCCCUUCCCCAAAGUCCUACUGUAUGGAUACCUACCUUGAUCAA